ensembl:lncRNA
ACUAGACGCACGUCUCUGAAGAACCCAGUCAUACUUGAAGCCUGAGGCCAGCGGAAUAAACAAAAGGAAAAAUGAAGUUGUUCGGAUAACUGGAGCUCUUUGACAGUUCUUCGCCACACCCGUGUGUUCUGUGUCAGAGCGCGCAGGGGCCAACAAACGAGGAGGUUAAUGGCAUCUGCUUCAAUCAGGCGAAACGUCAAACAUGUUCCUGAGUGAAAUCAAUUGGAAUCAGUCAGAGAGACGUUUUACAGCUCCGCGGCAAUGCUGGCGCGAGUCCCCGCGUCUUAAAGUUUCACCAUUAGGAAAAAAAACAGAAACUUCUGAAUGCACCGUUUGCCAGCCUCCAUGUUUAGGAGGCAAUCUGGAAUAUGUUUUGAAAACCACAUGGACUUGGAGCUGCCCUGCUGGUCCCACAUGAAUUGAAUGAAUUAGCGUUUUCUUGACCUACAUUAUUGUGGGCCUUUUGAUUGCAUCAUGCCAAGUAUUUUUUUUUUCUUCUUUUUUCCUUCUCCCUCUCUCCCGGUCUCAGUCUUCCAAUCCCUAAAAAAAAAAAGCCUCUCGGUUAUUUUCCCUCUCGACAGACCUUGACACAUGUUGCUUGUGUGCGAGCCUGUGAAAUGGCUGGCUUUACUAAAGACUCCAAUCCCAUCCCUCCCUUUCUCUCUCUCCCUCUCCCUCUUCCUCUCUCUCUCCCUCUCUCUCUCUCUCUCUCUCUCUCUCCCCCACUGGCACUAAGCCACCUCAUGCCACAUCAACAGAUAGCGGCGUUGGACUUUUUUUUUUUUUUUAAGUUUGUCCGGGCCAAUUCAUUAAAGCUAGGCCUUUCAUCUCGGCCGCACAAAUGGCUUGGAUUGUUUUUAAAAGCCUUGGCUCUUCCGUUUUUCGCCGUUUGAUGCUCACGAACCCCAACAGACCCAGUCUUUGUUUCUCAUUAUGGGGUACUGUAAGAAGAGCAAGCCAAAUGUUGAUACGUUUUUCAGAGGAGCAGGGGAGAGGGGGGGGGGGGGUUGGGUGGAUGAAGGGGAUGAGGGGGUUUGUAUGGAGAGAGGCUCAGUUGUUAUCCUUUAAGAAGGAACAGAAUUUGGGAUAUCGAGGCACAAGAAAUUGUUUUGUUUUCCACCUAUUUGGUCAUGAUACACCUCCCCAUUCCACGCGAACAGAGACCAAAUCAAAAGACAUGCCAAAGUCCUCAGAGAUGACAUGCAGCAUGGGGUCCCAUUGAGAUGAUCUUGACAUGGAACAUCUGGCUGUACUUCCCCCAGGUGUUCAGUAUUGACUGUGUAAUGAUGGAGUUUGAUGGAGUUUAGACAGGUUGCCAGAGAGUCCCUCUUUUUUUUCUUUUUUUUUUUUCUUUCUAAUUUUUAAGCUUUUUCAUCUUCCCUGUUAAGCUUCUUUUUUUGAAUGGCACUUGUUAAACUGUUCCAAUCAUAGCGGUGUGUUUGGCUCUUCUUCCCUGUAAACCACACCAAACCAUAUUGUGGCGUCAUACUGACAAUACGGUUACACCCUGUUCCACUUGCACUAGCCACAAGUCCAUAUCCUGUCAGAGAUUUGUUUGUUUGUGUGUGUGUGUGUGUGUGUGUGUGUGACUGGCCUCUGUGUAA